rnacentral:ncRNA from 1 species
UGAUAGCGUAGAAGCGUGAGGUUGCUGCCGCAAGGCAGGUUUUCCGUGGAGCGAAUGUCAAGGCCGGUAUUAACCG